rnacentral:lncRNA from 1 species
CCCUCUUCCAGAGUGUACUAAUUUUUGUGUAUUCUGUUUUAGUUUAUUUUUAAAAUAAUGUCUAGAGGGAACAGAUAUUUUUAUGGAACAUGAAUGUUUAGCCAAGAUUCUUUAUCUGAAAUCCAGGUAAAGGUGUUGUGUCUUGUUUUUAUAAAUCAUUUUUAUUUCAACAAAAUGUUCAGUAUAAGAAAUUACUUUUAAUAAUUACGUCAAAACAUGCAGUAGGUGGACUUUUGAGCUAACCCUGGAGAAGGAGCUGGAUUUCACCAGUUAGCCUCCUAUGGAUCUGCUACCAUCAUCACCCUCCCACCCCACCUCCACUGCCUUUUUUCCCAAGACUUUUAAAAAAAUGUUUUAUUGCCCAGGCACAGCACUUUGGGAGGCUGAGGCAGGAGAAUUGCUUGAACCCAGGAGGCGGAAGUUGCAGUGAGCCGAGAUGGCACCACUGCAUUCCAGCCUGGGCAACAGAGCAAGACCCGUCUC